ACACACCGCCCGUCAAACCAUGAGAGUCACCAACACCCGAAGUCCGCCUUGGCGGCCUAAGGUGGGGAGAUGAUUGGGUUAAGUCGUAACAAGGUAUC
rnacentral:rRNA from 1 species